AUGAGGAUAUUUGCUGUCCUUAUAUUCACGACCUACUGGCAUUUGCUGAAUGCAUUUACUGUCACGGUUCCCAAGGACCUAUAUGUGGUAGAGUAUGGCAGCAAUAUGACAAUUGAAUGCAAAUUCCCAGUAGAAAAACAAUUAGACCUGGCUGCACUAAUUGUCUAUUGGGAAAUGGAGGAUAAGAACAUUAUUCAAUUUGUGCAUGGAGAGGAAGACCUGAAGGUUCAGCAUAGUAGCUACAGACAGAGGGCCCGGCUGUUGAAGGACCAGCUCUCCCUGGGAAAUGCUGCACUUCAGAUCACAGAUGUGAAAUUGCAGGAUGCAGGGGUUUACCGCUGCAUGAUCAGCUAUGGUGGUGCUGACUACAAGCGAAUUACUGUGAAAGUCAAUGCCCCAUACAACAAGAUCAACCAAAGAAUUUUGGUUGUGGAUCCAGUCACCUCUGAACAUGAACUAACAUGUCAGGCUGAGGGCUACCCCAAGGCCGAAGUCAUCUGGACAAGCAGUGACCAUCAAGUACUGAGUGGAGAUUAGAUCCUGAGGAAAACCAUACAGCUGAAUUGGUCAUCCCAGAACUACCUCUGGCACAUCCUCCAAAUGAAAGGACUCACCUGGGAGAAUGAUGGAUGUGAAAAAAUGUGGCAUCCAAGAUACAAACUCAAAGAAGCAAAGUGAUACACAUUUGGAGGAGACGUAAUCCA
rnacentral:sRNA from 1 species